GAUGAAGAACGUAGCGAAAUGCGAUACGUAAUGUGAAUUGCAGAAUUCAGUGAAUCAUCGAAUCUUUGAACGCAUAUUGCGCUCUCUGGUAUUCCGGAGAGCAUGCUUGUUUGAGUAUCAGUAAACACCUCAACUUCCAUAUCUUUUUUGAAAUGGGAGUUGGACUUGAGUGAUCCCAACGCUUUUCCUCACCGAAAAGUGGCGGGUUACUUGAAAUGCAGGUGCAGCUGGACUUUUCUCUGAGCUAUAAGCAUAUCUAUUUAGUCUGCCUAAAAAACAGAUUAUUACCUUUGCUGCAGCUAACAUAAAGGAGAUUAGUUCCUGUGCUGACUGAUGCAGGAUUCACAAAGACAGCUUCGGCCGACUUUGUAAACUCGAUCUCAAAUCAAGUAAGACUACCCGCUGAACUUAAGCAUAUCAAUAAGCGGAGGA
rnacentral:misc_RNA from 1 species